rnacentral:rRNA from 1 species
GAUGAACGCUAGCGACAGGCCUAACACAUGCAAGUCGAGGGGCAGCACGGUGUAGCAAUACACGGGUGGCGACCGGCGCACGGGUGAGUAACGCGUAUGCAACCUGCCUACUACAAGGGGAUAACCCGUUGAAAGACGGACUAAUACCCUAUAACACAGGGAAUCCGCAUGGAUAUAUUUGUUAAAGAUUUAUCGGUAGUAGAUGGGCAUGCGUUCCAUUAGCUUGUUGGUGAGGUAACGGCUCACCAAGGCAACGAUGGAUAGGGGAACUGAGAGGUUGAUCCCCCACACUGGAACUGAGACACGGUCCAGACUCCUACGGGAGGCAGCAGUGAGGAAUAUUGGUCAAUGGACGAGAGUCUGAACCAGCCAAGUCGCGUGAAGGAAGACGGCCCUACGGGUUGUAAACUUCUUUUGUAAGGGAAUAAAUAGUCUUACGCGCUAAGACGUUGCAGGUACCUUACGGAUAAGGAUCGGCUAACUCCGUG